CUGUCAUUCUUCUUUAGUUUAUAAACACCUUAUUAAUUGGCAUUUGCCUUUCAUUUGUUUGUCUGGCAUUUAGGGAGAAGAGCUGCUUUCAAGUUUCCUCCUUCCAGUCUCAGGCCAGGGUGGCUGGAGCAGAGACCACUGAUAUUCCUUACACUUCCCCUAGAAAAAGAAGUAAGAUUCCCGUAGCUGAGAAUUUGAGACGCAAAUUGUGACUUGCUCGCUGGUGUUCUGCUUGUAAGUGUGCUCUGUCCAGCUCUUCCUUCCCCAUGAUUGAGGAGGAAGGACCCGGAAACAGAUGAGGACGGCUCACUUUGUGUUCCAUUACUUCUUUCCAACCAGCUGGACUUGGGAUGAGCAGGAAGGGGUCAUCAUCACCCAGGUUUGUCAGAGAUGAGAGUGGAAUCCAGAGAAUCUGGUCCCUUUUGCUAAGAGAGACCCAGGAGAGAGUGCUAACCAUCCCUGGGCACUGCCUCAUCUUGGAUGAAAGGAGGUUUCAGAUCAUGGCUUUGUGCCUGG